rnacentral:ncRNA from 1 species
GAGGGGAGGCCCCUCGGAACCGGCUUACAGGCGCAGGUUCCAAACCACCUUCGGCGGCUGUGGCCCAAAGCCAUGGUCGUGAGCGGGGAAGGAAAAGGCCUGGCAUUGACCGGUCAGGU